rnacentral:misc_RNA from 1 species
GAUGAAGAACGCAGCGAAAUGCGAUAAGUAAUGCGAAUUGCAGAAUUCAGUGAAUCAUCGAAUCUUUGAACGCACAUUGCGCCCGCCAGUAUUCUGGCGGGCAUGCCUGUCUGAGCGUCGUUUCGACCCUCGCGCCCGGCUUCUGUCGGGGGCGGUGUUGGGGAUCGGCCACACCCUUCAGUGGGAGGCCGGCCCCUAAAUUCAGUGGCGACAACGCUGUAGCCUCCCCUGCGUAGUACUAAAACCACCUCGCAGGCGGAGAGCGGUGCGGCCCGCCGUAAAACCCCCCAACUUUUACAAGGUCGACCUCAGAUCAGGUAGGAAUACCCGCUGAACUUAAGCAUAUCAAUAAGCGGAGGA